rnacentral:rRNA from 1 species
CGCGGUGAAUACGUUCCCGGACCUUGUACACACCGCCCGUCAAGCCAUGGAAGCUGGGUGUACCUAAAGUCGGUAACCGCAAGGAGCCGACCUAGGGUAAAACUAGUAACUGGGGCU